rnacentral:rRNA from 1 species
AUUGAACGCUGGCGGCAUGCCUUACACAUGCAAGUCGAACUGCAGCACGGGGCAACCUGGUGGCGAGUGGCGAACGGGUGAGUAAUGCAUCGGAACGUACCUUUCAGUGGGGGAUAACGUAGCGAAAGUUACGCUAAUACCGCAUAGUCUGUGAGCAGGAAAGCAGGGGAUCGCAAGACCUUGCGCUGAUUGAGCGGCCGAUGUCAGAUUAGCUAGUUGGUGAGGUAGAGGCUCACCAAGGCGACGAACUGUAGCGGGUCUGAGAGGAUGAGCCGCCACACUGGAACCGAGACACGGUCCAGGCUCCUACGGGAGGAAGCAGUGGGGAAUUUUGGACAAUGGGGGCAACCCUGAUCCAGCCAUGCCGCGUGAGUGAAGAAGGCCUUCGGGUUGUAAAGCUCUUGCGGCCGGGAAGAAAUCGCACGGGCUAAUACCCUGUGUGGAUGACGGUACCGGAAUAAGAAGCACCGGCUAACUACGUGCCAGCCGCCGCAGUAACAC